AAGACCUUGCGCUUUUGGAGCGGCCGAUGCCUGAUUAGCUAGUUGGUGGGGUAAAAGCCUACCAAGGCAACGAUCAGUAGUUGGUCUGAGAGGACGGCCAGCCACACUGGGACUGAGACACGGCCCAGACUCCUACGGGAGGCAGCAGUGGGGAAUUUUGGACAAUGGGCGCAAGCCUGAUCCAGCAAUACCGCGUGAGUGAAGAAGGCCUUCGGGUUGUAAAGCUCUUUCAGUCGAGAAGAAAAGAUUGUGACGAAUAAUCACAAUUCAUGACGGUAUCGACAGAAGAAGCACCGGCUAACUACGUGCCAGCAGCCGCGGUAAUACGUAGGGUGCAAGCGUUAAUCGGAAUUACUGGGCGUAAAGGGUGCGCAGGCGGCUUUGUAAGUCAGAUGUGAAAUCCCCGGGCUUAACCUGGGAAUU
rnacentral:rRNA from 1 species